AGUGAACGCUGGCGGCAGGCCUAACACAUGCAAGUCGAACGAGUGGCGGACGGGUGAGGAAUACAUCGGAAUCUACCCUGUCGUGGGGGAUAACGAAGGGAAACGGACGCUAAUACCGCAUACGAUUGAAUGAGCCGAUAUUGGAUUAGCUAGUUGGCGGGGUAAAGGCCCACCAAGGCGACGAUCCGUAGCUGGUCUGAGAGGAUGAUCAGCCACACUGGAACUGAGACACGGUCCAGACUCCUACGGGAGGCAGCAGUGGGGAAUAUUGGACAAUGGGCGCAAGCCUGAUGCAGCCAUACCGCGUGUGUGAAGAAGGCCUUCGGGUUGUAAAGUCCUUUUGUUGGGAAAGCGGUACCCAAAGAAGAAGCACCGGCUAACUUCGUGCCAGCAGCCGCGGUAAUAC
rnacentral:rRNA from 1 species